AGGCUGAUGCGGGAAAAUAUGUCUGUGUUGCGAAAAAUGAUGCUGGCUCUAAGGCAAGCACUGUACAGGAUUUCGUUGUAUACUACUCUCCUAGAAUAGACCCAGAGGCCAAAAUGAAGUAUGACGUGGAAGGAGAGAUAGGCAAGGAGGCAUCAUUCGAACUUUUCAUAAUCGCCAAACCGACUCCGGCAACAACUGGUUACAUUUGGUCCAAAGCUGACAUUAAACUUUCAAACUCAUCGUCCAAAUAUGAAAUCACAUCCGGGUCGACGUCGAGCAAGUUGUCAAUCAAAAACGUCACAUCCUCCGAUUAUGAUAACUAUACGUGUUCUGUGCAAACGAGCGGAUUUCAAGCGAUGGUUUUCAAAUUUAAGCUCCUCAAACCAGGUACUCUUCAGUUAACGGUCACCAAUACCAUCAGCAAUUUACGUCCACGUCUCGGAGAAACGAUAAAGCUGAAUUGUAACAUUGUGCAUGGAAACGCUAGCGGUGUUGCAUGG